rnacentral:rRNA from 1 species
CCUACGGGUGGCAGCAGUGAGGAAUAUUGGUCAAUGGGCGUAAGCCUGAACCAGCCAAGUCGCGUGAGGGAUGAAGGUUCUAUGGAUCGUAAACCUCUUUUAUAAGGGAAUAAAGUGUGGGACUUGUCCUGUUUUGUAUGUCCCUUAUGAAUAAGGCUCGGCUAACUCCGUGCCAGCAGCCGCGGUAAUCCGGAGGAUCCGAGCGUUAUCCGGAUUUAUUGGGUUUAAAGGGUGCGUAGGCGGCCUUUUAAGUCAGCGGUGAAAGUCUGUGGCGCAACCAUAGAAUUGCCGUUGAAACUGGGAGGCUUGAGUAUGUUUGAGGCAGGCGGAAUGCGGGGUGUAGCGGUGAAAUGCUUAGAUAUCACGCAGAACCCCGAUUGCGAAGGCAGCCUGCCAAGCCAUGACUGACGCUGAUGCACGAAAGCGUGGGGAUCAAACAGGAUUAGAUACCCGAGUAGUC